CACCGCCCGUCACACCAUGGGAGUUUGUUGCACCAGAAGCAGGUAGCUUAACCGCGAAGGGGAGCGCUUGCCACGGUGUGGCCGAUGACUGGGGUG
rnacentral:rRNA from 1 species